GCGCACUGGUCUCGUUGGUGCCUGAGGCGUAAAGCACGUUCUGGAGACCGGCCACCGGCGGGUCUUCGAUUCUCGGCGCUUCCGCACCGGCCGAAGGUCCACAAAACAGGAGAAGGCUUUUGUUUGGGUCUCCCUGGGCAGCGAGAUGGUCCUCAGAUACUUACCAUCUGCCCUCUGCUCUGGUUUACCUAACCCUCACCCUGUGCCAUUCUGCUGUGAAAACGGAACACUGGGCGACCUGGCACCCCUUCCUCUGGGCCCCUUACUUACACUAUCACACUUCCAAGUCAUAUCAAACUUCUAGCAAUCAAACCUAUUCAAAUGCUACGUGAACUUGAGGCCAGUGGAACACUCAAAGGCACAAAACAACAAUGGAUAGACACUGAUUCUGGAAGUAAACUGAGUGAAUUAUCAUCUCACCACUGGAAAGAUCUAUAACAUUAUGGCCUUCAAACUGGUAAACACCUGAAAAAUCUUCUGUGUUUAAAUAUGGUACUGUUUGUUGUUGCUGUUCAGUCACUAAGUCAUGUUUGACUCUUUGCAACCCACAGACUGCAGCACACCAGGCUCCCCUACCGUUCACUAUCUCCUGGAGUUUGUUCAAAUUCAAGUACAUUGAGUUCUAAUAAAUUCAAAUUGUUCUCAGAGACUACAAGCACUUACUUACAUUCCUGGCCCACAAUAAAGGCAGGCAGAGAACUUGGAAAUAAGAUU